GCUAGUCCCACGGUCUGACUACGGGACUGCUGAAGGUUCAGCGUCACGUCCGGCGCCUUCCCUCGAAGGGGAGGUACCUUCCUCUGGAGGGGAAUUAGAAUGAUUACAACAGAGCCGCCUUCGCCGCCACUGCUCUGGGGGCUCGCCCGGAGCGUCAAAAAGCUGUACAAGGUAAUGUACAGAUGAAGAAACUGAGAUUCUGAAAGUAUUCCAGAAGCUGACAGGAGGAUUACUUGAACCUGGAAGUUUGAAACCAGCUUGGGCAACAUAGCAGGACCCCAUCUCAAAAAAGUAAAUACAUAAAAUUUUAAA